rnacentral:rRNA from 1 species
GCACAAGCGGUGGAUGAUGUGGAUUAAUUCGAUGCAACGCGAAGAACCUUACCUACCCUUGACAUGUCCGGAACUUGCCAGAGAUGGCUUGGUGCCCGAAAGGGAAUCGGAACACAGGUGCUGCAUGGCUGUCGUCAGCUCGUGUCGUGAGAUGUUGGGUUAAGUCCCGCAACGAGCGCAACCCUUGUCAUUAGUUGCUACAUUCAGUUGGGCACUCUAAUGAGACUGCCGGUGACAAGCCGGAGGAAGGUGGGGAUGACGUCAAGUCCUCAUGGCCCUUAUAGGUGGGGCUACACACGUCAUACAAUGGCUGGUACAAAGGGUUGCCAACCCGCGAGGGGGAGCCAAUCCCAUAAAGCCAGUCGUAGUCCGGAUCGUAGUCUGCAACUCGACUACGUGAAGUCGGAAUCGCUAGUAAUCGUGGAUCAGAAUGUCACGGUGAAUACGUUCCCGGGUCUU